rnacentral:rRNA from 1 species
UACAGAGGGUGCAAGCGUUGUCCGGAAUCACUGGGCGUAAAGGGUGCGCAGGCGGUCGUGUGUGUCAGAUGUGAAAUCCCGGAGCUUAACUCCGGAACUGCGUCUGAAACUACACGACUAGAGCAUUGGAGAGGGAAGUGGAAUUCAUGGUGUAGCAGUGAAAUGCGUAGAUAUCAUGAGGAACACCAGAGGCGAAGGCGACUUCCUGGACAAUUGCUGACGCUCAGGCACGAAAGCAUGGGGAGCAAAAGGG